rnacentral:rRNA from 1 species
UACAGAGGGUGCGAGCGUUAAUCGGAAUUACUGGGCGUAAAGCGUGCGUAGACGGUUAUUUAAGUCGGAUGUGAAAGCCCCGGGCUCAACCUGGGAAUUGCAUUCGAGACUGAAUAGCUAGGGUACGGUAGAGGGAAGCGGAAUUUCCGGUGUAGCGGUGAAAUGCGUAGAUAUCGGAAGGAACAUCAGUGGCGAAAGCGGCUUCCUGGACCAGUACCGACGUCAGGCACGAAAGCGUGGGGAGCAAACAGGA